rnacentral:rRNA from 1 species
CCUGCCCUGUGACAAUGUUUAACGGCCGCGGUAUUUUGACCGUGCGAAGGUAGCGUAAUCACUUGUCUUUUAAAUGAAGACCUGUAUGAAAGGCAUCACGAGAGUUUAACUGUCUCUAUUUUCUAAUCAAUGAAAUUGAUCUUCUCGUGCAGAAGCGAGAAUAUUACCAUUAGACGAGAAGACCCUAUGGAGCUUCAAACACUUAAAUUAAUUAUGUAAAAUUAUAAUCCUUAGGGAAAAAUCAUCCAUAUAAUAUUCCUAAUUUAACUGUUUUUGGUUGGGGUGACCGAGGGGGAAAAAAAAUCCCCCUUAUCGACUGAGUACUAAGUACUUAAAAAUUAGAACGACAGUUCUGAUUAAUAAAACAUUUACCGAAAAAUGACCCAGAUUUUUCUGAUCAAUGAACCAAGUUACCCUAGGGAUAACAGCGCAAUCCUUUCCCAGAGUCCCUAUCGCCGAAAGGGUUUACGACCUCGAUGUUGGAUCAGGACAUCCUAAU